UGGUCAGGCUGUGUGGGGAAAGGGUGAGACUGCACUGAGAGAUGGGGCCUGCCUCUAGAAGUCACCAAAAGGGGCCAAGACAGCUGCCCAUGAACCCCAAAAGAGCCUGAGGCAGGAAAAUUGAAGUAGCUGUGGGGUGGCUACAAGCAGGGCAGCCUCAGACCAUGUGACAGUGACCCUACUCGGCUGUCACCAGGGCCUCCCAGGCCAGGUUCUGCCUCAGGCUGGCAAGAAAAACCUCCAACAUGUAACAUGACAGUCAGGCCCACAGAGCUGACUUCUGCACAAGAGAUCACAUAGGCCUUUCUGACACAUAAGAAUUUCUGGGAAGCUUCCAUGAGGCUUCAACCAUAACACAUGGUUGCUUCAACUUAUUUAGAUAACCUAAUUGUCAAGUUAUUCAUAAACAUUACCAUAUUCCUCAGAGUUGCCCACUUCACAUGGUUGCUGUGGGGUUAAGUGCUUCAACACAUGUGAAGUAUAAAACCUGUGACUGGAAUGCAGUGAGCUAUUGUCACCAUCUCCCCAAACAUCAGAGAACUGUAAGUGAGCUGCACAGCCCACAUACACAUCUUUGUAUUUUAGCUCAUCUUUAAACUUAACACAAAGACAGGGAAAAAACUGAGCAAAUAUUUGACAAACUAAAAUUCCAAUUUACCUUGAAAACCUUCUUGAGAAUCGUUUUACUUGCAUGCUUGCUUCUAGAGCACUACGACAAAGCCUGGAACAUUUAUAACCCUUUUUGUUACAUCAAUCAGUCGCGGACAAAGACCCACUCUGGUUAAGUCCCUUACCUCCAGGCAU